GACGAACGCUGGCGGCGUGCUUAACACAUGCAAGUCGAACGGAAAGGCCCUGCUUUUGUGUGUUGCUCGAGUGGCGAACGGGUGAGUAACACGUGAGUAACCUGCCCUUGACUUUGGGAUAACUUCAGGAAACUGCGGCUAAUACCGGAUAGGAGCUCCUGCUGCAUGGUGGGGGUUGGAAAGUUUCGGCGGUUGGGGAUGGACUCGCGGCUUAUCAGCUUGUUGGUGGGGUAGUUGCUUACCAAGGCUUUGACGGGUAGCCGGCCUGAGAGGGUGACCGGCCACAUUGGGACUGAGAUACGGAGCAGACUCCUACGGGAGGCAGCAGUGGGGAAUAUUGCACAAUGGGCGGAAGCCUGAGGAAGCAACGCCGCGUGCGGGAUGACGGCCUUCGGGUUGUAAACCGCUUUCGCCUGUGACGAAGAGUGAGUGACGGUAAUGGGUAAAGAAGCACCGGCUAACUACGUG
rnacentral:rRNA from 1 species